AUGAACGCUAGCGGCAGGCUUAAUACAUGCAAGUCGAACGGCAGCACAGUGUAGCAAUACAUGGGUGGCGAGUGGCGCACGGGUGCGUAACACGUAUGCAAUUUGCCCAUAACUGGGGGAUAGCCCUCCGAAAGGAGGAUUAAUACCCCAUAACCCAGCGAGGUGGCAUCACUUUUCUGGUAAAUCUCCGGAGGUUAUGGAUGAGCAUGCGUCCGAUUAGCUAGUUGGUGAGGUAACGGCUCACCAAGGCAACGAUCGGUAGGGGGUCUGAGAGGAUGAUCCCCCACACGGGUACUGAGACACGGACCCGACUCCUACGGGAGGCAGCAGUAAGGAAUAUUGGACAAUGGAGGCAACUCUGAUCCAGCCAUGCCGCGUGAAGGAUGAAGGCCCUACGGGUUGUAAACUUCUUUUCUUAGGGAUGAAUAAUGACAGUACCUGAGGAAUAAGUCACGGCUAACUACGU
rnacentral:rRNA from 1 species